rnacentral:rRNA from 1 species
GAUGAACGUUAGCUACAGGCUUAACACAUGCAAGUCGAGGGGCAGCAUGGUCUUAGCUUGCUAAGACUGAUGGCGACCGGCGCACGGGUGAGUAACACGUAUCCAACCUGCCGUCUACUCUUGGACAGCCUUCUGAAAGGAAGAUUAAUACAAGAUGGCAUCAUGAGUCCGCAUGUUCACAUGAUUAAAGGUAUUCCGGUAGACGAUGGGGAUGCGUUCCAUUAGAUAGUAGGCGGGGUAACGGCCCACCUAGUCUUCGAUGGAUAGGGGUUCUGAGAGGAAGGUCCCCCACAUUGGAACUGAGACACGGUCCAAACUCCUACGGGAGGCAGCAGUGAGGAAUAUUGGUCAAUGGGCGAGAGCCUGAACCAGCCAAGUAGCGUGAAGGAUGACUGCCCUAUGGGUUGUAAACUUCUUUUAUAAAGGAAUAAAGUCGGGUAUGGAUACCCGUUUGCAUGUACUUUAUGAAUAAGGAUCGGCUAACUCCGUGCCAGCAGCCGCGGUAAUACGGAGGAUCCGAGCGUUAUCCGGAUUUAUUGGGUUUAAAGGGAGCGUAGAUGGAUGUUUAAGUCAGUUGUGAAAGUUUGCGGCUCAACCGUAAAAUUGCAGUUGAUACUGGAUAUCUUGAGUGCAUUUGAGGCAGGCGGAAUUCGUGGUGUAGCGGUGAAAUGCUUAGAUAUCACGAAGAACUCCGAUUGCGAAGGCAGCCUGCUAAGCUGCAACUGACAUUGAGGCUCGAAAGUGUGGGUAUCAAACAGGAUUAGAUACCCUGGUAGUCCACACGGUAAACGAUGAAUACUCGCUGUUUGCGAUAUACGGCAAGCGGCCAAGCGAAAGCGUUAAGUAUUCCACCUGGGGAGUACGCCGGCAACGGUGAAACUCAAAGGAAUUGACGGGGGCCCGCACAAGCGGAGGAACAUGUGGUUUAAUUCGAUGAUACGCGAGGAACCUUACCCGGGCUUAAAUUGCAGAUGAAUUACGGUGAAAGCCGUAAGCCGCAAGGCAUCUGUGAAGGUGCUGCAUGGUUGUCGUCAGCUCGUGCCGUGAGGUGUCGGCUUAAGUGCCAUAACGAGCGCAACCCUUGUUGUCAGUUACUAACAGGUUCCGCUGAGGACUCUGACAAGACUGCCAUCGUAAGAUGUGAGGAAGGUGGGGAUGACGUCAAAUCAGCACGGCCCUUACGUCCGGGGCUACACACGUGUUACAAUGGGGGGUACAGAGGGCCGCUACCACGCGAGUGGAUGCCAAUCCCCAAAACCUCUCUCAGUUCGGACUGGAGUCUGCAACCCGACUCCACGAAGCUGGAUUCGCUAGUAAUCGCGCAUCAGCCACGGCGCGGUGAAUACGUUCCCGGGCCU